GUGCCAGCCGCCGCGGUAAUACGGAGGGUGCAAGCGUUAUCCGGAUUCACUGGGUUUAAAGGGUGCGUAGGCGGGCAGGUAAGUCCGUGGUGAAAUCUCUGAGCUUAACUCAGAAACUGCCAUGGAUACUAUUUGUCUUGAAUAUUGUGGAGGUAAGCGGAAUAUGUCAUGUAGCGGUGAAAUGCUUAGAUAUGACAUAGAACACCAAUUGCGAAGGCAGCUUACUACACAGUUAUUGACGCUGAGGCACGAAAGCGUGGGGAUCAAACAGGAUUAGAAACCCUCGUAGUCC
rnacentral:rRNA from 1 species